UGUAGAAUGCGUUCACACUAAAACGAUUUUGGAUUCCCUUGCUAACCAAAGCACAUUUGACAUCAUAAUCAAAUUUGAAACUAGCAGCGAUCUUAACGCAGUAAUUUUGCGCUUAAGACAAGAUAACAUUAACGAUAAUUUUUUAUUUUUAUCAUUCGAAAAAACCAGCUUUGGUGGUUACGAAUCCGAUUCGAGUUCAGACGACUCGAGGUGCGAUUUCUGAAGCAUGUUUUCGGAGGAAGCUUAAAUCUUCAUAACAUUGGUGGCAAGUCAUCAUUCAUAAUUAUAUGUUAUGGAGUUUAAGCUAUCUCAUCCGACAAUAUUAUAUAUUCAAGUAAUAUAUGUACCACUUACAUGUUUUAUCAUUAAACGUAGACAAGCAAAACAUACGAAAAUGCUGUACUAUGUGUCCUACUUAAAUUAUUAUAAAUCUCUAUCUCUAUUGUAAUACUCUCGAGACUACGGUCGGUUACUCUAAGGCCGUCUUGGACUGAGGUCCAAGGUCCUAGGUGUUGCUGCCUCAGAGGCAGUUAAAUUAGCAAUUAAGCAAAAAUAAUAUAUUAUCUAAAUGGUGAAUGAAGGUGGAAGUGAGACUUCAAUGAUGAUUUGAAUUUUAAGAACGUUGUAGUUGAUGUUCCUUAAAGUAAAACUUUAUGUAAGGUAGAUAUACCAUAAAAUAUUAACGGCCUUACUAAUAAAUAUUGUAUAGCAAUAAACGUAUACAUACAUUUGCUACACAAAAUGUAUUAGUAAAGUAAUAAAUGUAUAAUUUUUUCUUGUAUACGAGUAUAAGUUAAAUAAAGAUGUGGAUGAAAUGUAAUUUAUUUUCUAAAUAUAUUAGCAUUGUGUAUUU